AAAACCAAAAACAGCAAAAACUCUACUCGUACACCCAUUCACAUCGGGCAAUUCACAAAAUAACCAACAGACAGAAAACUGUGAUAAACCAAAAACCUAUUUACUAGAAACACCGAAAGAUUUGAAACGGCGUCAACCAUUGCUCGAAUUACCCGGGGAAUUUAGUAAAAAACCGAAAUUGUUCAAAGAAGUCGAAAAAACUAAUGAAAGUGAUAUGAAAAAUAAUAAUGAAAGUUGUGUAAAAAGUGAAAAAAGUGUGAAAAAGUGUCACUGUUGCUGUGGUUGUGGGGAAAGUGAGAAGUCGGUCAAACUGAUUAUUGCUAACGCUAUGAUGCCGGGAAUUUUUGGGCACGUGCCGGCUAUUCCGUAUAUUGUCAAGGGGAAAAUUGAUAAGAAUAUCACAGUGGCUCCACAAAUUGCGAAAACAUCCAUGGUCAUCCCGACGGGACCAGCGUCAUCUCCUCCGAAAGAUUGCUGCUCAAAUAAUAAAGGGAACAAGGAACAAGG